UCCAAGCUCUUAUCCAUUGCCUCCUAUGGUGGUGAGCUUCUUCUAGACUCAUCUUCUCCUUGAAGUGGCGUCUCCUCUCUCUCUUCCUUCUCGAUUCCACUGCCAUUCGUCUUCCAAGAAGCAAAGGAAUCCAUUGAUGAAGAAGAUCCUAGGCCUACAAGCUCUAAUGGAGCUUACAUCAACAUGGCUCUACAUUCAAUAUAAAUAAUAAUUGAAUCUAACAAAUGUAUUGAAGUUACCAUGUAAACAUCACCAGUCAGAAAUAAGCAUUAAUUAAAUGACUAACCUUUACUUCAAUCCACUUAGGAGUUCCUUGAUCAUUUUUGCCAUCCACAGUGGUCUUUAAUGUCUUCAUUGCACUAGUCAAAAAAAUAAAACAUCAACGUAUAUACGAUGAUAAAAAAAUUUAUCAUUCAAAGUUUACAAUACAUUAAAUGAGUUACAAUAUAAAACUUUUUAAUUACAACUUUGAUAUGAACAUCAAGCUUCUUACGUAAUGAACAGAACCAGGCAACAACAUCGUUCCUAGGACACAUAACAACCAGCUGCCAUUGGGCACUGAAUUAAACAAAAAUUAGCUAUGUAUAAUGCAAACAUUUUUUUACAAGAAUUUUCAUAAAUACUACUUACUAAUUCAAGUAAGCUCCUAGGUACACCUCUCGUUGAG
rnacentral:lncRNA from 1 species